rnacentral:tRNA from 1 species
GUAGAUAUAGUUUAACUAAAACGCUAGAUUGUGAUUCUAGAAAUAAAGGUUAAAGUCCUUUUAUUUACC